CUUCUCCCCCCUACCAUUCCCCUCCCCUCCUAUUUCCCUCACGAACCCACCUUGCAGUAGAUCUGCUCGGUCUCAUUGCAUUCCGAGACCAGACAUGCAUGCAGGCUGCCUCAUCUCGCGGUGCCAGAUCUGGGCACGGUUGGCCUGGAGAAGCAAGCACAGCGCCCAUAGAACGAGUUUAGAAUUUUGUUUGAUUCGAAUUUCUUUUAGAGGUUUAUGUCGCUGUGUGAUUUUGUUUUUCUUUUGUUCCGGGCAAGGGGAGUUCCAGAAAGUGGAAUCGUGGGCUCGUGGCUAACUCCUGAUCCUUACCGAUCUGGUAGGGCUGCUACUGUGGUGGAUGGGUUCCUCAAUUCAUGCACCUAUCAUAUGAAUUUAGAUGAUAGUUUGCCUGUUUCUGAUCUCGUAUGUGUCCCAUCUGAGUUUGGGUCAUGCUUUCUAUCACCAUGGAGUUUUAUUUGAAAAAACUUUUUUUCGUUCUCUGUUUUUCAAAUAAACGGAUAGGUGAUGCUGCAAUUGAGACCAAGUACAUUGUAUAGACGAUUGAGCAACCGCGUUGCAAUCCAUUUUGAUCAAUGGUGUCCCAUCCAUGGGGGAUCCCGUCGAUCCUGCAUCAAUAGACACAAGCGAUGAAGGAGCCGGUCCUGCUACUUUCCUGCAGAGCCCAUUCUGACUUAAGCUAGUGAUUUUCUUAAAAAUGUUCAUUCAAAUGCUUUUUUCAGGAAGUCAACCUAUAAAAAUGAUGGCAGCAUAUUCAAGCGCCCCCCCCCCCCCCGCCCCUUUAUUUUCAGGAUCUGAGAUGGGCACAGUGAUCUCCAUUGACCAUGUCAUCUUUGAUUGGGGCCCAUCAUCACCAUUAGGUGUUCAGGGACAGUUCCCCUUGUUCAUCAGUUGAUGGAUUUUUUGCUGGAGCAUCUAUUGUACAGUAGAUAGAUUCCGAGUUUCAUGUGAGGAUUGCAUAGUUAGAGCUUUUGUGUAUAGGUUCUUACGAAAAUGUAAGUUCUGAGUGGCAGAUAAUAGAAAUAUGACACCCAUCUUCUGCGUUUAUGAUAUUUAUGAACCGGCUCAGAAAAAAUGUGUGGUGUUUGCAAGGUAAUGAGGUUUUGCAUCGACAUAUUUUAGUACAUGAGAUUGGGAGAUUAACAGGAUGUAAUUUUGAUGAUAACUAUAUAUUUAUUGUAAAGAACAGAAUUUUUGUGUCUGGCAA